rnacentral:lncRNA from 1 species
UGAAGCUGCCGGAGACCCUCCGGGGGAAGGGGGCGCAGCCCGGGGGGGGACACGGCCCCCCGGCCCCCCUGGAAGCGGGACAAGGACGGGGCCGUGGAAGGCACCGAAUUCGGGGACCCCCCUGAACGGGGGGGGCUGGGGGGGCUCCCCCGACCCCCCCGCGGCCCCGAGGGGGGGGGGCUGGCGGCCGCCGCCCUGCAGAGAGUCUCGGCGCUGCGGCGGCGGCUGCGGGUGGGGGAGGGGCCGGCGCCGCCCCUCCCCCCCGGGCAGGAUUUGGGGGGGGGUCCCGGCGCGACCCCCCCCGAGCAGGAGCGGCGGCACGCGGGGGAUGGGGCCGAGAGCGACGGGGACCCCCCCGAGGGGGCGGCAGGUGGGGGGGGGGCAAUUUGGGGAGGGGGCGAAAAAAUGGGGGGGGGGCAAAAAAUGGGGGGGGCAAAAAAUGGG